GGCGGCCUCUUAAGUCUGAUGUGAAAGCCCCCGGCUCAACCGGGGAGGGCCAUUGGAAACUGGGAGGCUUGAGUAUAGGAGAGAAGAGUGGAAUUCCACGUGUAGCGGUGAAAUGCGUAGAGAUGUGGAGGAACACCAGUGGCGAAGGCGACUCUUUGGCCUAUAACUGACGCUGAGGCGCGAAAGCGUGGGGAGCAAACAGGAUUAGAAACC
rnacentral:rRNA from 1 species